ensembl:lncRNA
GUCCACUUCUGGCCAUCUGAUCCUCUGUAUUCCCAUUACAGUGCCAUGUGUGUAUUAAUGAAGUGACUGCAUCUGAUUACGUCUUUUAUUCAGAGAACAAGAACAGCCCAUCUAUUUUCUUCUCCAGCAUCAUUGUUUCUGUUAUGAUGUCAAUAACUAUGUUAUUCUACUUCGUGUAGAAGUAAAAUGGUCCUUCAGUAAGUGAGAUUAGAUUGAAGAUUGGCAAGAGCAGAUUCAAGGAAAGGAGUAAAGUUACUACCACUGUGGAUAUGUUUUACUCAAAGGUCAUCCUCAUGCACUUACUUCCUGCCCUUGAGGACUGAGUCUACACCAAAGAAACACCUCUAGAUUAACCAUCUGCUGCCAGGGACCACUUUACCAUGGCAACAGCAUCACCUUCCAUGGUUGUCUUGAAGAAAAUUUCCCAGAAACAUGAUCAGAAUACAUGAGGAUUUGGAACUGAUUUGAUGGGCUUCAUUUCUGCAGGAGUUCAUUCCAGUCCCGUGGGGACCAGACUGAUUGAAGUCUUCACUCAACAACCAAGUACUGAGUAAAUUUUCA